rnacentral:RNase_P_RNA from 1 species
GGAGUAGGCGAGGCGGUUGCCCCAUCUUCUCUUGAGAAGAAAGGGGAGGAAAGUCCGAACUCCAAAGGGCAGGAUGGUCGCUAACGGCGACUCCGGGCAACCGGAGGAAAGUGCCACAGAAAACAUACCGCCCUGUGAGAUAAUGGCUUUUGCCAUCUCAUGAGGUAAGGGUGAAAAGGUGAGGUAAGAGCUCACCGUUCUGGUGGUGACAUCAGAAGCAUGGUAAACCCCAUCCGGAGCAAGACCAAAUUGGCCCUUUAAAAGGUGGCCCGUCUUAUAGGGUGGGUAGGUCGCUUUUCCCCAUGAGCAAUCAUGGGGUUAGAUAAAUAACCGCCCCUGCUGGAACUUCAGUGGGCACAGAAUUCGGCUUACGUCCUGCUCCCGCC